UAUUUUUGUGACAUGCAUAGUAUGAUUAUGAAACGAUAUUUCACUUUUAGAAAUGCUAAACUUUUAUUCAAAUUUUCUUACUUCCUUUGGAUUGUUAUAUGUGCACUUUGUGAGUGUAAAGACUUGGUCGUGUAUCUCCUUGAUUCAUAAUAUCAAAAGAGAACCAAUGAUGUCUUAGAACGAUAAAUCAUAGGUCUUUACGUAUUUUUUCUAAAGUUGGCCAUGACUUAGAUGUAUGAAUUUUCAUUAAUGCCGCCUCAAUUGAAAUUUAAGGAUUCCCUUUCUUGAAAAGUUAGUCUUUAUUUUCUUUUGUUCUAUGGAUUAGAUUCUAUGUUUGUGCAAUUUUAGAAGUCAUGGGUAUAUUUCUUAUCUCCUCAUCCCUUUAUUCUCGCAACAUGCAUUAUUUAUUCUCACAUUAAUUCAUUGAAUAUGGCAUUCUUUAUUUUACCUUUAUUCAUUUUUAUAUGAACAUAAAUCAUUAGGCAUGUAAGUGGGUGUUUUUUCUUUGAAUUUUAUUUGUUUACUCUCAUUCGUGUGCAAGUAUGUUUAUCAUUGUCAUUCUAAUAUUGGUUCUUGAUAUUGUCUUUUGCUUUUAAAUAUGUCACUUUUAUGCCUUGCACGUAUAUUAAUUUCUUUAUCUUUUCUUUGCAUGCAAAAAAUGUGUUGAGUCCAAAUGGACUCUCUCCUCUUGCAUUUCGUAAUGGGUCAAUGAGGUUUACCUCUUCGAGUCAAGUCUGAAGUUUAAACCCAAGGUCAACUAUAUGGCGUGAGAGUGAUACAAGAUAGACGACGAAUGAAAAUGGGUCAAAACCCAUUGAUGAGAUUCUGAAACAGUGUUUCGAAACAGUGCAGUACUGAAACAAAGGGAUGCAACCUUUCGACGAAAUGACACACCGAUUCAUGAAAUGGUAUGCUUGUUCGGAAAAGACACAUUCUUUAGACGAACAGACAUGACUUUUCCAGAAAGGUUACACCUUUUAAGUGAACCAUUGCCACUUUUCAGAAGAGGCACAUGUUGGCUAUAUAAACUGCUUUCAUCUACAGGUUUAGGGAUCUUCUUCAGCAGCUGCUGGGGAGGCUGCAGGUUCGCCAUGAAAAUGCUGUUGCGGACAUGCUAAGCGCCAAGGAGGGCAAUAAGUUAGGAAGGGAAGAAUAGACAAGGCUACAACUUUGCAAUGUAUGCCCAUAAAUAUCAAUAUAUGUACUAAUAGUGUUAGGCCCCAUAAAUAUGAAUAU